rnacentral:lncRNA from 1 species
AAGAAAGAAAGAAAGAAAGAAAGAAAGAAAGAAAGAAGAAGAAGAAGAAGAAGAAGGGAGGAGGAGGCGCAGUGGCUGUGUCGGUGGAGUGGAGUUGAGGCGCUGGUGAGGGUGACGAGUAGAGGUGCAGCGCUGGAGAUAAAAAAAAAUGGAAUUUUCUAGAUGGUUUGGGUCGAACCGGUUCGAUUCGACCCAUAUCUUUGGUUUUCAUUUGGUUUUCGGCUUUUUCAGUCGGUUUUCGGUUCGGUUUUUCACAGUGUUCGC